UACUGGCUUCAAGCAAUCCUCCCACCUCAGCCUCCCAAGAAGCUAGGAUUACAUACACAAGGCUCCAUGCCAAGCUAAAAAUCUUAUUUUUGACAACUGUCAUUACUAAGAAAGCGUCUAUGUUCCAAAAGCUUUGCACUUUCAGAAGCUGGUUCAUAGUAUUGGUGCUUUAUUGAUGCGAGUAAAAUGUCUAAUUUAAGAUAAAGAUACAGGGAGAUAAAAAACAAAACAGUAGUUCAACUUUUCACAGCUCUAUUCUUCUGUCAUAAGGCAGCAAACAUCUGUCAAUAGCCCUUGUGUGCCAAAGGACAUUUGAGAAAUAUUACUUUAUAUACCAUGGUUUUAUGGUAAUUUGCCAUGUGGUAAUCCUUUCUUUAUCUGAGAAAGUAGAUGGACUUGAUAAAAUGUCGGUAAAGGGAGCUUGGUACAUAGGCUAUUUCACCCACAAUUGACAAUUUAAUGUUAUAACCAUGAAAGCAAUAAAUGUAACAUGGUAUUCAAAAUCUUAAUAACUUGUUCUAGGUUCUGAGAACAUUUGCCUACUUUCUACUUUGUAAUAUUCUCUAGAGACAAUAGGAAGCCCACAGUUCUGUACACCAAGUGAGAAAGAGGGUGCUAUUAAUACCUAAUAUCACUGUCAAUUCACUCAAGCAAAAAAUAAUAAAAAUAAAAUAAAAUAAAAUAAAAAGGAGAGCAGAUGACCUUGCUCUCUGCAAAGCAGUGAUAUGUUGUGUCCACAGAUGAUAUUCCAACCUCAUCAUAUAAAGGUAAGCAGAAGGGCCUAUGGAUGAACAGUUUUGGAGAGAUCUGCAAGACUUCCCAGAAGAGAUGAUCAUCCAAGAUGAAACCUAAAGGAGAAACAGAAAUUACUCAAGCAAAGCAGAAAUAAGAAUGUUUUAGGCUAAAGAAAAAGUGUAAGAAGGCAUAAAAAGAAAAAAUAAGGUUUGUUUCAUGAACUGCAUGAAACAAACUCCUCUCACUGUGUGAGAGGAGUAGUAAGGAGAAAUCAUCAUGAAAAGAUUAGAAGAUCAUGGAAAACCUUACAUGACAGGUGAGAGAAUUUGAAAUUCAUCAAGAGGCAUUGAAAGACCCAUUUUAAGAAGGGGAGUGCCAUGAUCAGAUUUAUGUUUUUGAAAAAAUAAGU
rnacentral:lncRNA from 1 species